UGAUGAUGGUGAGGGCAAUUUCUGAGUAUACCAUUAAAUCUCUUGUAAGCUUGGUAGAGAUUCUCUAUUUCUUUAUGUCUGAAAGUCAAGAUCUCGCUUCUCAAGCA
rfam:Capsicum annuum cultivar Zunla-1 chromosome 6, whole genome shotgun sequence